GCAACAUUCAGCUCUAAUUCGAAAACAAAGUUGGGUUUCAUUUGAAUUCUAAUGAAAUAUUUAGAAUAUUCGUAGAAUAUUCUAAUUUUCUUCCCCAAAAAUUAUCUUCCCAAAAAUUAUCUCCCCCUAUACUUUCAGUACCUAACUUCAUUUUGCAUAAAUAUACUGGAACGAAAUUUGAAUAGUAAUAAAUGCUGUGAGGGGGGGGAGGAUGGGGGAGAGUAAAAUAGAGAGAAAGUUAUAGAAUAAUAUAGAGAGAAGAGAUUAUUCUCCAAUCUGAAUUCAC